rnacentral:rRNA from 1 species
GAGUUUGAUCCUGGCUCAGGAUGAACGCUGGCGGCGUGCUUAACACAUGCAAGUCGAACGGGGAUGCUUAUGGAAGGGGUGCUUGCACUCUGGAAGUAAGGAUCUUAGUGGCGGACGGGUGAGUAACGCGUGGGUAACCUGCCCCAUACCGGGGGAUACCACCUGGAAACAGGUGCUAAUACCGCAUAAGCGCACGGGAGCGCAUGCUCCUGUGUGAAAAACUCCGGUGGUAUGGGAUGGACCCGCGUCUGAUUAGCCAGUUGGCAGGGUAACGGCCUACCAAAGCGACGAUCAGUAGCCGGCCUGAGAGGGUGGACGGCCACAUUGGGACUGAGACACGGCCCAAACUCCUACUGGAGGCAGCAGUGGGGAAUAUUGCACAAUGGGGGAAACCCUGAUGCAGCGACGCCGCGUGAAAGAGGAAGUAUUUCGGUAUGUAAAGCUCUAUCAG